rnacentral:lncRNA from 1 species
CCCAAAGUACUGCAUAACUUUGCAAUAAAACGUCGACUCCAAAGAUGUAGAGGGAGACCUUGAAACGAUACCCAUAAGGGAAUAGACUGUAGACUGUCUAACUCCAAACGGACAUCAGGGGACCAGCGUCGUAGAAUCAUUGGAUGGCCACGAAUAGUCCAGAACCCUUCAAGGACCCGUUGCAAAUCUUCUUCAGAGUAUAGCUUACAAACAAA